CCUACGGGCGGCAGCAGUGAGGAAUAUUGGUCAAUGGGCGCGAGCCUGAACCAGCCAAGUCGCGUGAAGGAAGACUGUCCUAUGGAUUGUAAACUUCUUUUGUCGGGGAACAAAAGACGCUACGCAUACCCUCCCGUGUGUACCAGAAGAAUAAGCAUCGGCUAACUCCGUGCCAGCAGCCGCGGUAAUACGGAGGAUCCGAGCGUUAUCCGGAUUUAUUGGGGUUAAAGGGUGCGCAGGUGGAAGGUUAAGUCAGUGGUGAAAGUUUGCGGCUCAACCCUGUACUUGCAGUUGAAACUGGUUGUCUUGAGUGCAGGAGAAGUGUGCGGAAUUCGUGGUGUAGCGGUGAAAUGCUUAGAUAUCACGAAGAACUCCGAUUGCGAAGGCAGCUCACCGG
rnacentral:rRNA from 1 species